rnacentral:rRNA from 1 species
UCCGGUUGAUCCUGCCGGAGGACAUUGCUAUUGGGAUUCGAUUUAGCCAUGCUAGUCGAACGAGUUCACACUCGUGGCACAUAGCUCAGUAUCACGUGGCCAAGCUACCCUUCAGUCGGCAAUACCCUCGGGAAACUGAGGCUAAUAGCCGAUACGAAACAGACGCUGGAAUGCACUGUAUUCCAAAGACACCGCUGAAGGAUGCGGCUGCGGCCGAUUAGGUAGACGGUGGGGUAACGGCCCACCGUGCCAGUAAUCGGUACGGGUGAUGAGAGUCAGAGCCCGGAGACGGAAUCUGAGACAAGAUUCCGGGCCCUACGGGGCGCAGCAGGCGCGAAACCUUUACACUGCACGAAAGUGCGAUAGGGGAAUCCCAAGUGCGAGGGCAUAUUAGCCCUCGCUUUUGUUGACUCUAAGGCGGUCAACGAAUAAGAGCUGGGCAAGACCGGUGCCAGCCGCCGCGGUAAUACCGGCAGCUCAAGUGAUGUCCCAUGUUAUUGGGCCUAAAGCGUCCGUAGCUGGCCGACCAAGUCUAUCGGGAAAUCCACCUGCCCAACAGGUGGGCGUCCGGUAGAAACUGGCCGGCUUGGAACCGGAAGGCUCAGAGAGUACGUCCGGGGUAGGAGUGAAAUCCCGUAAUCCCGGACGGACUACCGAUGGCGAAAGCACUCUGAGAAGACGGCUUCGACAGUGAGGGACGAAAGCUCGGGUCUCAAACCGGAUUAGAUACCCGGGUAGUCCGAGCCGUAAACAAUGCUCGUUUAGGUGUGGCACCCACUACGAGUGGGUGCUGUGCCNCAGGGAAACCGCUNAACGANCCGCCUGGGA